rnacentral:rRNA from 1 species
UACGUAGGGUGCGAGCGUUAAUCGGAAUUACUGGGCGUAAAGCGUGCGUAGGCGGUUCGCUGUGUCCGAUGUGAAAGCCCCGAGCUUAACUUGGGAACUGCGUUUGAAACUGGGAGACUUGAGUGUGGCAGAGGGGGGUGGAAUUCCACGUGUAGCAGUGAAAUGCGUAGAUAUGUGGAGGAACACCGAUGGCGAAGGCAGCCCCCUGGGUUAACACUGACGCUCAUGCACGAAAGCGUGGGGAGCAAACAGG